rnacentral:rRNA from 1 species
AACGAACGCUGGCGGCAUGCCUAACACAUGCAAGUCGAACGAGACCUUCGGGUCUAGUGGCGCACGGGUGCGUAACGCGUGGGAACCUGCCUUUAGGUUCGGAAUAACUUAGAGAAAUUUGAGCUAAUACCGGAGAAUGUCUUCGGACCAAAGAUUUAUCGCCGUUAGAUGGGCCCGCGUUGGAUUAGCUAGUUGGUGGGGUAAAGGCCUACCAAGGCGACGAUCCAUAGCUGGCCUGAGAGGAUGAGCAGCCACACUGGGACUGAGACACGGCGCAGACUCCUACGGGAGGCAGCAGUGGGGAAUAUUGGACAAUGGGCGAAGGCCUGAUCCAGCAAUGCCGCGUGAGUGAUGAAGGACUUAGGGUUGUAAAGCUCUUUUACCCGAGAUGAUAAUGACAGUAUCGGGAGAAUAAGCUCCGGCUAACUCCGUGCCAGCAGCCGCCGUAA